rnacentral:rRNA from 1 species
AUGUCCGACCCCGUGGAUACCUCUAGCCCGCGGAAGAAAGGCCGCACUUUGUCUCGUUUCCCGUACGCGUCUCCCCACAGCGACGGCGGGAUGGCAGUCGAGAGACUCACCGACGACCUCCUCGUCGAGAUCCUCGCGCGUCUCCCGGUCAAGUCGCUCUGCCGCUUCAAGUGCGUCUCCAACCACUGGCUGGCCCUCAUCCACCACCCCGAACACCGCAAAAAGCUUCCCCAACCCCUGGCCGGCUUCUUCUACGGCAGCACCACCACCAAUCCUGCCACGCGGAAGUGGACCGUGUUGCCGGACUCCGGCAAGGCCGCCAGCGAGGUCGCCACCACACGUUUGGGCUUUGAUCCGGCCGUUUCGUCGCAUUUCUACGUGUUUGAGUUGAUAAAUGCGCACGAGCUUUGGGACCCUGACAUUGUCGGAGUGGCAGUGUAUUCCUCUGAAACCAGAAAAUGGGUUUAUAAGGAGAAGAAAUGGAAUGCGGAAAUUAGGAUCAUUAAUCGUCAGUCUGCAUCUGUCUUUCUUAACGGCUAUCUGCAUUUUGUAGCCGAUUGCGGUCUGCUUGAUGGUUUUAUUCAGCGGUCACAGGGUCGCCUGCAUUAUGCCAAUUUUCAGCGAGCUGAAGAUGGUGUUACCAUUCGACUAGUAGUUUAUGUUCUCGAGAACUAUCAAAGCAGAGAAUGGAUACUGAAGCAUAGCGUUGACACUUCACACAUAUUUGGAGAAACAGAUUCCCAAUUCGGCCUCGAUGGGGAUUUUGAGUGGAUUGGGAUUCAUCCGGAAUGCAACAUGAUAUUCUUCAAUUUUGGUUGGUUUAUCACAUUCACUUGCUAUAAUAUGGAUAGCGGGCAAGUCAAGCUGAUCUCUGGUCUUGUAGAUGGCAAGCCGCCAUAUAUGCCAUAUGUGCCGUUGUAUGCAGAGUUGCAGUCGUUGCACAUUUGA